CGUGUAGGCGGUAUGGUAAGUCAGAUGUGAAAGCCCUGGGCUUAACCCAGGAAGUGCAUUUGAUACUGCCAUUCUUGAGUAUGGGAGAGGAGAGUGGAAUUCCUAGUGUAGAGGUGAAAUUCGUAGAUAUUAGAGGAACACCCGUGGCGAAGGCGACUCUCUGGACCAAUACUGACGCUGAGACGCGAAAGCGUGGGGAGCAAACA
rnacentral:rRNA from 1 species